GCACAAGGAGUUAGAGAUUUGUUUUUUUUAAAGAUAGUUAGUUAUUUUAAUGUACGAUUUUUUUAGAUAAAAAGAAAGGGUCAUUAUUUUAUAAAGUUCUUAAAUUAUAGAUGGGGUUGUUAUGACGGGGACGUCCUAAAAUCGAUCGGGGACAUGUUAGGGACGUGUGUAGUACCUUAGAACUAGAAGUUAAGUUGAACCCCAGUAUGCUGCGUUAGUAGUAAUUAGAUUUGUAAAUAUGUGGAUUAAAAUGGUAAAUAAACCAUGUAAAUUUGCAAAUAUUCACCGUAACAUAAAGUGUCAUAAAGAUGAAUUAGGUGAGAACUUAUAUGAUUAAGAUGAAUUAAGUGAUCAUUUAUAUGAUUAAGAUCUGAUUGGAGAGAUUUGCAGAGCACUGCAUCCAUUGGUCAGAAAGGACAUUUAGUGUUAUUAGAAUUAUUUAUAAAGAAAUUAUUGGAUUAAUAAGAGUUAUUGAAUCCAUCAAUUAGUGGAACGGUAUUUUAACCAGUUUUAAAAACCUGUAUUUGAUUAUUAAACCUGUUUGUUUGCAAUAACCUGUUUGCAAUAACCUGUUUGUUUGCAACUCUCCUGGAUAACGCGUGGACCGCCUCUUCCACUGGAGCUCCUCUUCUACAGAACACCUAGACUACAAAAGAUGAACACACAAGAUUCUCACUGCCGUUAGCUGUAGCCGUCUGCCUUUAGCCUUUUCCCGAACGCCUCUCCUAUGAUUGGUUUUCCCUACACGGCCGGGAUGUUAGUAUGCUGCGCUCUCUCCCACGUCACUAGUUUCAUAAAUAGAAGUCACCAGAACAUUGCAAUUGGUUCCCGUCACUUCCGUAAAUUCCCGCUAAGCUAGGAAGUUUGUUGCUUGAGGUAAUAUUGUGGGUGAGCCCUAUCCUAACCUGCCUGUUUGUCCCAACCUUAGCAGCACCUACCUUAUUAUCUCGACAUUCCCCUCCCACGGAUUCUGCCCUCGUUGGCAGCAUUGAAGGAACGUAGCCAUGAUAUAGCAGCUACCUGUCCAUCGUCCAGAGAGAGAGUCAGCCAGCCCGUUAUAAUACACACCAGUUCCCAUUGAUCACCCAGCUACCCAACUGAUUUAGGGUAACGGACUUUACCAUGAGAUUGAACACUUAUUUUAUGUACGAUUGGAUUGGUCUUGCAUUAUUUUACAGUCCUUGA